AUAUAAAUCUGCAUAAGGAAAUCUGUGACAAUGUGUUGUUAUCAGUUUCCAUGUUAUCUGUAAAAUUUUCUAACAGAGACCUAUCUUGGUGAGUUUGUUUGUGUCAAAGUCAGAGAGCCGUGUCUCUCUACAGUGAGAGGUUUUUGUACGGCGGCUCAAUGAGUUUGUAUCACUGUGGUACACGUUCGGUGGAGGAACCAGACUGGAAGUUAACUUGGGUCGAGUCGUCCCCACCCUGACGGUGCUGCCCCCCUCCAGUGAGCAGCUGCAGCAGGGGACGGCCACGCUCAUGUGCCUGGCCAACAAGGGCUUCCCCUCAGACUGGAGUCUGUCCUGGAAGGUGGACGGCAGCAGCAGCAGCAGCAGCAGCUGGGAGCAGAGCAGCAGCCCCGGGGUGCUGGAGAAGGACGGCCACUACAGCUGGAGCAGCACCCUGAGGCUCUCUGCAGACCAGUGGAGGAAGGUGGGCUCUGUGACCUGUGAGGCCACCCAGGGCUCCCAGACUCCGCUCUCAGAGACUCUGAGGAGAGACCAGUGUUCCCAGUCCUGAUCUGACUCACUGCUUUUACUCUGCUACUGCUCUCAGUCUGCUCUCUUUCUCUGGUUCUCUCAUGAUGUUUCAACAUUAACUUGUUCUUGCUUGUGUUGAUAGUUUUAACAUUUUCAAACAAUAAAGAAUUACAUCGUGUAUUAUAAAAGUGACCAUUGUUUUGAAUUCCUUUCUUUUACACGUGUUAUAUAUUAGGAGCAUGAAUCAGAUUAAUGUGGCAAAGUGACAAUCGUUAGAACUACAUUUUUUCCAGAUACAUUUUUAAUAGUUUUAAGACGUCAGAUGCAGGUGCAGCUAUUUCAAUGGUAAAUCACAAAGCCAUCAGAUUUAACAAAUAUAUACUUUUGAAGAUCUAUUUGUCAAUUUAAUAUGUCAUUAAAUUUGUAUUUUUACCCAAGAUAAUUCAACAUUUAUUUGUAAUCCUAUGAUACAAUAUAAAUGGUGCCCCGUGCGAGGCAUCGUACAGUUGGUAAUAGUUCUGUACACUGUAAUUCUCUCUUUCUCACACAUUAUUGCUUGUGUUAAUGCUUUCAAAAUUUUAAAGCAAUAAAGAUUUUAUUAUGU